AUGGUUUUGGUUCUCAUGGCCAUGUCGAGCUCAUGGACCCGGGCGGCAGCGAGGCCAUUGUUAUACGCCGAGGAACCCUCCCCUGGCUGUUCCGUCCGCAUUUUGCUGCCUUCACGGCCGUCGCAAUGGCGAGGGCGUGUGCUUCUGUCGCUCGAGGAGAAGAAGACGGGGCCAGGCAAAUCGUGUGGACCCAGAAGCACCAAUAACCCUAACAAUCAUUGCCCAUAG
rnacentral:rRNA from 1 species